CUUUCCCUGCAGUGUUCGCUACUGGCCUUAUAUUUCCUGCACCAAUGCCUCGGCAUAGGUUUCGGAAUAUCACUCGGCAGGCGUGCUCGUCUCUCUGUCAGAUGAGCCCAAUGUCAGGUUGACUGGAGCCAACUUGAACUCAGGUUCAGGAUGCCGGCCAAACGACACAGGCGGGGAUUUA
rnacentral:other from 1 species